rnacentral:rRNA from 1 species
UACAGAGGUCCCGAGCGUUGUCCGGAUUUAUUGGGCGUAAAGAGCUCGUAGGCGGCUUGUCGCGUCGUCCGUGAAAACCUGCAGCUCAACUGCAGGCUUGCGGUCGAUACGGGCAGGCUGGAGUUCGGUAGGGGAGACUGGAAUUCCUGGUGUAGCGGUGAAAUGCGCAGAUAUCAGGAGGAACACCGGUGGCGAAGGCGGGUCUCUGGGCCGAUACUGACGCUGAGGAGCGAAAGCUGGGGGAGCGAACAGG